GUCACUUAUAGAUGGAUCCGCGCUGCAUUAGCUAGUUGGUAAGGUAACGGCUUACCAAGGCAACGAUGCAUAGCCGACCUGAGAGGGUGAUCGGCCACACUGGAACUGAGACACGGUCCAGACUCCUACGGGAGGCAGCAGUAGGGAAUCUUCCGCAAUGGGCGAAAGCCUGACGGAGCAACGCCGCGUGAGUGAUGAAGGUCUUCGGAUCGUAAAACUCUGUUAUUAGGGAAGAACAUAUGUGUAAGUAACUGUGCACAUCUUGACGGUACCUAAUCAGAAAGCCACGGCUAACUACGUGCCAGCAGCCGCGGUAAUACGUAGGUGGCAAGCGUUAUCCG
rnacentral:rRNA from 1 species